AACGAACGCUGGCAGCAGGCUUAACACAUGCAAGUCGAGCGCCCCGCAAGGGGAGCGGCAGACGGGUGAGUAACGCGUGGGAAUCUACCCAUCUCUACGGAAUAACGCAUGGAAACGUGCGCUAAUACCGUAUACGUCCUUCGGGAGAAAGAUUUAUCGGAGAUGGAUGAGCCCGCGUUGGAUUAGCUAGUUGGUGGGGUAAAGGCCUACCAAGGCGACGAUCCAUAGCUGGUCUGAGAGGAUGAUCAGCCACACUGGGACUGAGACACGGCCCAGACUCCUACGGGAGGCAGCAGUGGGGAAUAUUGGACAAUGGGCGCAAGCCUGAUCCAGCCAUGCCGCGUGAGUGAUGAAGGCCCUAGGGUUGUAAAGCUCUUUCACCGGUGAAGAUAAUGACGGUAACCGGAGAAGAAGCCCCGGCUAACUUCGUGCCAGCCGCCGCAGUAACAC
rnacentral:rRNA from 1 species